ensembl:lncRNA
CUUCCCUGCAAGAGGUUCAUUCGAGCUGUUCAUUCCUUCUCCCCCCACCUCCUGCCCCUCCCCAGGACCCGGUGACGCUAUCUCCACUUCCACGAGAAAUGACAGCAGCAUUCUGCCUCUUGGAACAAUGUUCUGCUUUAUCUCCAGGAGACAACACGUUCACGAGGCAGAUGCGCUGAGGCCCAACUUCACUGAAGCUUCAACGCUCCUGACAGACAGAAGAGAAGGGUUUUGUUUUGAGCACUGCCGGACUCAUCCUCCCAUUUGAGUUCCCUGAUACAGGGACCCUUGGGGUGAUUGGGGAAGAGCUUCCCAGCCUGUGUUGAUGGUUUAAUCAAAGAAUCAUAGAACCAUGGACUUGUUGGAGUUGGAAGGGAUAAUUAAAGAUCAACUGAUUCAACCCCCCUGCAAUGAUCCGGGACACCUACAGCUCGAUCUGGUGCUCAGAGCCCUGUCCAGCCUGACCUUGAAUGUCUCCAAGGAUGGGGCACCCACCACCUCUCUGGGCAAUUUGUUCCAGUGCCUCAUCACUCUUACCGUAAAAUACUUCCUUAUAUCCAACCUAAAUCUCCCCUCUUCUAAUUUGAAACCAUUUCCCCUUGUCCUUUCACAACCGACCCUACUGAAGCCAGCCCAAGGGAGACACUGCCUCCAGUAAUACAACAGUACUUUUUCAAAGAAAAGUGCUUGUGAGCAGAUCAUCAACUGUAUCAGCUACAAGGCUGUUUCUUCUGCACAUCCAUCACAUCAUGCUCCUCCAGCCAUCGGUAUUCCUUCCUUCAGCAAAACCUUCCAAGCAGCAAAAAGAGCAGGUCAGCUCUCUGAGUCUGCCCAAUGGCCAGGAGGAGAGGCACACGGCGAGACGCAGCUGCUUGCUUGGACGAUUGGAAAGGAAAAGCACUCGGUGGAAAGAUCUCACUUUGAAAAUUCCACCUGACCAUCUUUAUUAGCAUAAGAAAAUCAAUAGCGCCCCAACUUGUUGUUCUUAGAUGUUAUAACACAGUGAACAAGUGCUGCUUGCAGCCUGGUGGUCUCUGCUGUUCUAAGCCAAUUAUGAAGAAACCUUGGGCAGUCAUAGAAAGCUGUUGUUUUUAAAAGCUGGAGUGCUGCAUCAAGACUUUCCACACAGCAGUGACAAGUGUUCUUCUAUGCUCUCCCACAAAAACCUUUCCAGACACAGGAAGCUCUGACAGAACUCCUUACUGCUGAGUAUUGCUGAAAUAUUCCUGAGCCUACCCUGAUCCUUGCAAAGUGACUUGCUUGUGACCAUGCUAAUAAAGCAGCUCCUCUGCCGUUAGCUUUGCUGUUCUGCUUUUGGGGUGCAAGCUCUCUCUCCGAAUGAAGUGAGCAGCCCCAUUGCCUAGAUAAUCACUGUCGUAAAUUAAUAUGGACCACAGCCACGUCCAUCUGUGCUGUGAUUUUCCCGUCACACAUGCCUGGGAGGGCCCCGUACCUCC